GAUGAACGCUGGCGGCGUGCCUAACACAUGCAAGUCGAGCGAACGGACGAGAUGCUUGCUUCCCUGAUGUUGGCGGCGGACGGGUGAGUAACACGUGCAUACCCUACCUAUAAGACUGGGAUAACUACGGCCAACCGGAGCUAAUACCGGCUAAUAUGUUGAACCGCAUGGUCCAAAAGUGAAAGACCGGCUUGCUGUUACUUAUAGAUCGAUUCGCGCUGCAUGAGCUAGUUGGUAAUGCAACGGCUUACCAAGGCAACGAUGCAUAGCCGACCUGAGGGGACGAUCCGCAACCGUGGAACGGAGACGCGGUCCCGACUCCUAAGGGAGGCACGAGAAGGGAAUCUUCGGCAAAGGGCGGAAGCGUGACGGAGCCACGCCGCGUGAGUGAUGAAGGUCUUCGGAUCGUAAAACUCUGUUAUUAGGGAAGAACAUAUGUGUACGUAACUGUGCACAUCUUGACGGUACCUGAGGAGAAAGCCACGGCUAACUACGUG
rnacentral:rRNA from 1 species